UACGAAGGGUGCUAGCGUUGCUCGGAAUCACUGGGCGUAAAGGGUGCGUAGGCGGGUCUUUAAGUCAGGGGCGAAAUCCUGGAGCUCAACUCCAGAACUGCCUUUGAUACUGAAGAUCUUGAGUGCGGGAGAGGUGAGUGGAACUGCGAGUGUAGAGGUGAAAUUCGUAGAUAUUCGCAAGAACACCAGUGGCGAAGGCGGCUCACUGGCCCGAUACUGACGCUGAGGCACGAAAGCGUGGGGAGCAAGCAGG
rnacentral:rRNA from 1 species